rnacentral:rRNA from 1 species
GCAGGCCUAACACAUGCAAGUCGAGCGCAGUCCUUCGGGACCGAGCGGCGGACGGGUUAGUAACGCGUGGGAACAUACCCUUUUCUACGGAAUAGCCUCGGGAAACUGAGAGUAAUACCGUAUAAGCCCUUCGGGGGAAAGAUUUAUCGGGAAAGGAUUGGCCCGCGUUAGAUUAGAUAGUUGGUGGGGUAAUGGCCUACCAAGUCUACGAUCUAUAGCUGGUUUUAGAGGAUGAUCAGCAACACUGGGACUGAGACACGGCCCAGACUCCUACGGGAGGCAGCAGUGGGGAAUCUUAGACAAUGGGCGCAAGCCUGAUCUAGCCAUGCCGCGUGUGUGAUGAAGGUCUUAGGAUCGUAAAGCACUUUCGCCAGGGAUGAUAAUGACAGUACCUGGUAAAGAAACCCCGGCUAACUCCGUGCCAGCAGCCGCGGUAAUACGGAGGGGGUUAGCGUUGUUCGGAAUUACUGGGCGUAAAGCGUACGUAGGCGGAUCAGAAAGUAGGGGGUGAAAUCCCAGGGCUCAACCCUGGAACUGCCUCCUAAACUCCUGGUCUUGAGUUCGAGAGAGGUGAGUGGAAUUCCAAGUGUAGAGGUGAAAUUCGUAGAUAUUUGGAGGAACACCAGUGGCGAAGGCGGCUCACUGGCUCGAUACUGACGCUGAGGUACGAAAGUGUGGGGAGCAAACAGGAUUAGAUACCCUGGUAGUCCACACCGUAAACGAUGAAUGCCAGUCGUCGGGCAGUAUACUGUUCGGUGACACACCUAACGGAUUAAGCAUCCG